UUGACAAAUGAAGAAAUACUUGUUCUGACAUAAGGAAGAGGAAAAUUAGGACUAAAAGUAGAAUUACUCAUGAGAGGCUCUGUUCUUAACUACUGAAUUUCUCUAAUUGGCUGAUUGAAUAUGUAGAUGUGGAACUUGUAGAUAUGAUGGGCCAACUGUAAUAAAGAAGAUUCCAUAUUUUGCUAUAAUUGAGAAUUGCCUCUAAAUAAACUGCCAGCAAACAACUAACUGCAGAUACUGCCGCUCCUGGCUUCUAAUAGAGAACAAUUCAGAGCCAGUCAACAACGUAAAAUGUGCAACUUAAAGGGAAAGGCAAAUGAAGAAAAGUAAGCUGAAGAAGAAAGAAACCCUAAUCACAAAUAGUGUGUCUGACAAGAGGCUAAUAAUACAUUUAUGGAAGAGAAGAAGGGUGAUGGCCCACUGCCAGGCCUCAAAUACAAAAUGCUUCAAAACCGACAAUUUUCAAGUCAGCAUACAGCCAUUUCAACAGUUAAAAUCUGUG